UGCUUUAGCUAACCGAAAUAACUUUCUGUCCCCGCCUCUCUCCCCUAGUUCCUCGUACAUGCGACCAAAUGCCGCGUUUUUAGCUUCCGUAAUUGCCAGCUUUGCUUCUUUCCUCGCCACCUUUUUGAUCUCCAUGUUCGCUCUCCGUUCUUCCUCGCUUAUGCUCCCUGCCAACAUAGCAAACGCCGCCUUCUUCACCUCAGCUUUUCCUUCGACUACAUCGUUCCACCACCAGUAACCCUGAUGUCUGACUGAAUAGCGCUUGGCUACCCCGACCACAUCCCGUGCUACCUCCCUAACCAAGUUCGCCAUCUAUGACCACAUAGCGUCUGCUUCCCCUGAACUUCUCCAAGCUCCGCCCUCAGCUAGCCUCCUCUCCAACUCCUGUGCUUUCUUCUUAGUCAAAAACAUCCCAUCUAAUCCGCGGUUGUCCCCGAGCACCCCUCAUCUUCCUCUUCACCCAGAGAUAGACAUCCAUCACUAGGAGUCUAUGAAGAGUCGAAAGGGACUCUCCCAGAAUAACCUUGAAGUCCUUGCACAU
rnacentral:lncRNA from 1 species